rnacentral:rRNA from 1 species
AUUGCAUGAUCUGGUGUGAAAAACUCCGGUGGUAUAAGAUGGACCCGCGUCUGAUUAGCUGGUUGGUGAGGUAACGGCCCACCAAGGCGACGAUCAGUAGCCGACCUGAGAGGGUGACCGGCCACAUUGGGACUGAGACACGGCCCAAACUCCUACGGGAGGCAGCAGUGGGGAAUAUUGCACAAUGGGGGAAACCCUGAUGCAGCGACGCCGCGUGAGCGAAGAAGUAUUUCGGUAUGUAAAGCUCUAUCAGCAGGGAAGAAAAAAAUGACGGUACCUGACUAAGAAGCCCCGGCUAACUACGUGCCAGCAGCCGCGGUAAUACGUAGGGGGCAAGCGUUAUCCGGAUUUACUGGGUGUAAAGGGAGCGCAGGCGGUGCGGCAAGUCUGAUGUGAAAGCCCGGGGCUCAACCCCGGGACUGCAUUGGAAACUGUCGUACUUGAGUAUCGGAGAGGUAAGUGGAAUUCCUAGUAUAGCGGUGAAAUGCGUAGAUAUUAGGAGGAACACCAGUGGCGAAGGCGGCUUACUGGACGAUAACUGACGCUGAGGCUCGAAAGCGUGGGGAGCAAACAGGAUUAGAUACCCUGGUAGUCCACGCCGUA